rnacentral:rRNA from 1 species
UACCUUAGUAACGGCGAGUGAAGCGGUAACAGCUCAAAUUUGAAAUCUGGGUCUUUUAGGCUCCGAGUUGUAAUUUGUAGAAGAUGCUUUGGGUGCGGCCCCGGUCUAAGUUCCUUGGAACAGGACGUCAUAGAGGGUGAGAAUCCCGUAUGUGAUCGGUGGCUUGCGCCCGUGUAAAGCUCUUUCGACGAGUCGGGUUGUUUGGGAAUGCAGCUCUAAAUGGGUGGUAAAUUUCAUCUAAAGCUAAAUAUUGGCCAGAGACCGAUAGCGCACAAGUAGAGUGAUCGAAAGAUGAAAAGCACUUUGGAAAGAGAGUUAAACAGUACGUGAAAUUGUUGAAAGGGAAGCGCUUGCAACCAGACUUGCGCGGGGUUGAUCAUCCGGGGUUCUCCCCGGUGCACUCGGCCUCGCUCAGGCCAGCAUCGGUUUUGGUGGUUGGAUAAAGGCCUUGGGAAUGUGACUUCUUUCGGGGAGUGUUAUAGCCCUCGGUGCAAUGCAGCCUACCGGGACCGAGGACCGCGCUUCGGCUAGGAUGCUGGCGUAAUGGUUGUAAGCGACCCGUCUUGAAACACGGACCAAGGAGUCUAACAUCUAUGCGAGUGUUUGGGUGUCAAACCCAUACGCGUAAUGAAAGUGAACGGAGGUGAGAACCCUUAAGGGUGCAUCAUCGACCGAUCCUGAUGUCUUCGGAUGGAUUUGAGUAAGAGCAUAGCUGUUGGGACCCGAAAGAUGGUGAACUAUGCCUGAAUAGGGUGAAGCCAGAGGAAACUCUGGUGGAGGCUCGCAGCGGUUCUGACGUGCAAAUCGAUCGUCAAAUUUGGGCAUAGGGGCGAAAGACU